rnacentral:rRNA from 1 species
UACGUAGGAGGCAAGCGUUGUCCGGAAUUACUGGGCGUAAAGCGCGUGUAGGUGGUGGGACAAGUCUGCUGUGAAAGCGCCUGGCUUAACCGGGCGAGGUCGGCGGAAACUGUUCGACUUGAGGACGGUAGAGGGGGGUGGAAUUCCCGGUGUAGUGGUGAAAUGCGUAGAGAUCGGGAGGAACACCUGUGGCGAAGGCGGCCCCCUGGGCCGGCCCUGACACUGAGACGCGAAGGCGUGGGGAGCGAACGGG